rnacentral:rRNA from 1 species
AUUGAACGCUGGCGGCAUGCUUUACACAUGCAAGUCGAACGGUAACAGGCCUUCGGGUGCUGACGAGUGGCGAACGGGUGAGUAAUGCAUCGGAACGUACCCAGAGGUGGGGGAUAACGCAGCGAAAGCUGUGCUAAUACCGCAUGUGAUCUGAGGAUGAAAGCGGGGGACCGAGCAGCAAUGUUUGGCCUCGCGCCUUUGGAGCGGCCGAUGUCGGAUUAGCUAGUUGGUGGGGUAAAGGCCUACCAAGGCGACGAUCCGUAGCUGGUCUGAGAGGACGACCAGCCACACUGGGCCUGAGCCACGGCCCAGACUCCUACGGGAGGCAGCAGUGGGGAAUUUUGGACAAUGGGCGCAAGCCUGAUCCAGCAAUGCCGCGUGCGGGAAGAAGGCCUUCGGGUUGUAAACCGCUUUUGGCAGGAACGAAACGGUGUCCGCUAAUACCGGGCGCUAAUGACGGUACCUGCAGAAUAAGCACCGGCUAACUACGUG